CAGUCGCCGCGGGAAUACAGAGGGUGCAAGCGUUAAUCGGAAUUACUGGGCGUAAAGCGCGCGUAGGUGGUUUGUUAAGUUGGAUGUGAAAUCCCCGGGCUCAACCUGGGAACUGCAUCCAAAACUGGCAAGCUAGAGUAUGGUAGAGGGUGGUGGAAUUUCCUGUGUAGCGGUGAAAUGCGUAGAUAUAGGAAGGAACACCAGUGGCGAAGGCGACCACCUGGACUGAUACUGACACUGAGGUGCGAAAGCGUGGGGAGCAAACAGGAUUAGAUACCCCAGUAGUCCCUGUCUCUUAUAC
rnacentral:rRNA from 1 species